CCGAAUUGUCAACAAGGGUUGUUGCUGGCCCCUGUAUGGGGGCAUGUGCACACUCUGUUUACACAUCCAUUCACACCUGUGCACCCUCUGUAGUUCUAUGGCCUGGGGGGCCCUGUCCUUCUGCUGUGGUUCUAUGUCUUUACACACACACCGAAAUAAAGUCUAACGGAAUGUAUGUCGCGUUUAACGCAAUGAAAUA
rnacentral:misc_RNA from 1 species